GAGACACUUAAAGGAAGGAACUGCUGGGAUGGAGACAGACAUGAGACAGUGUGUUCUGGAAAGUUAAAAGCUUAGCCAGCGUACCAAGGAGAAAUUGCCUCUUCGUAGUGGUUGUGCUGCCUGCUGCGGAGUGACACCAGUGUCUGGUACCGGGGGACCUGCCUGCAGGCUGGUCCCACACUGCUCCCCAGGGAAUAGUGCAGACACAGAAAAGCAGGUGAUGAAUGAACAGCUUUUUCCUUGAAGCAGAAACCAGGAUGGUCUUAAGCACACAAGAAGCCUCUGCAAACUCAUGUGGAAAUACUUGUGACAUGUACAUUAAUGCUACAUGUACUGGAACCAGCUUCUCCUGGGGACGGGGGUGUCUGGGAGAGCAGCUAUGGCUCAGAAUAAAAUGCUGCUUUUAGAAUUAACCCAUCUGUAAUGGCAACAGCUCUCACAAGCUGAGCUGUUUUGCUUCUACACUAGCAGCAAGUAGAAUGGCUACUACUGCUGAGCCAUCCUGAGCUGUGAUGGGUCUUUGAUCUUCCUUCACAAAAGGCAGAAAAAUAAAAAAGGAAAAUUAAUCUCUCGGGGGAAAACAAAGCAAACCAGCAAUCUCUGCUACAUCUCAUGGCCUGCUUAAGCACAGGUCUGGACUAGAACAUUUGCUGUGACCAUUUAGUGACCCAUGCUUGUCCCAGAUUCAUCUUAUUGGAAAAAGCAAUUUGUCUACCCAUGUGUCCUGAAGUACUGAUAUUUGUCAAAUCUGCUGCUUUGAAAGCCCUAGAUUUGAACUAUUGGAUAUGCAGAGAGAGAAGCAAAUAAAAGCUGUCUGUGAUAUGUGUGUUUCAUCUGGGUAAUAUCCUGUAUCCAGAGGACUGCCUGCAAAUAUGAUUUGCUGUUUUAAGUCUGUUUUAUCCAUGCUGAAAUAUUUUGCUUCAUUGAAUUCUCUGUUUGAGAUGAAUAAUGGUUUGAAUAUGGUAUGUGAUGGCUCUGUAGACUCCCUCAGCUGUAUAACUUGAAUAAAUACAUUGUUCUGGAGAGAUGGUAUAACAACACUGCUGAAGAUUUAGAAGCAUUCCAACUACCAAACAGGCAGGAGCAGGACCAUCCUGGCCUGCGGCGUUUAUAUGCGAUGCAAGAAUGGGCAAACAUUUGUGCAGCAAAGAGGCUGUGAAAAGGUGAAGGAGGCUUGCAGAAGGGGAGGAGAGGGAGCAUGCUAAAACAAGCAGCAUGCUGUUCAUCCUGACUCAGCACACUGGGGUCUUGCUCUCCUGAGGUCUGAGAUUCCACCAGCUAUGUCCUUCUGGUCUUGUCCUAUGCCUUGCAGAGGAGUGAAGAGAACUUCCAGAGGUUAUCCAGCUCUGCUUUUCCUCAGUACAUUCUCAGCCAUCACAUGGAGAUGUGUUUUCUGCAAGGCUUUGCAUGUGGCCUGUAGCAUCUGUGUGGGUUGUUGUGUUGAACUUGUCUAGACCUGUUUCUGCACAUGGAUCAGAAUCUGGCCUGGGUCACUGCUCCUGUGCACAGACAGUUUUGUUAGGGUGAUGCUCCCUGGUGACUUAACUGAGCAAGCACUGCACAUACCAGAGAACCCACUUGAAACAGCUACUCCUUUUGCAGUCCCUAUGCUUGAAGAUUAACAUCCUUUCCAAAACCUGCCUCAGUCCCAGAGCAACAGGCUCUGUUCUGUCCUCCAGCAUCUCCAUCACUCAUUUACUGCAACAAUUGGCUUCAGCCUUCGAUUUCCUCUGUGGAGCAUAUGGGAAAGAGACAGGCUGAGUUGUGAACAUUAAUAACAAUGAAUAAUAACAGCACAAGUUUCACAAGCUUUAACAAUCAAAUGAAUCAACAAUCAGGAAGGUUUCAUUAAUAAAUACCUGCAGGAGUUAGAUGACAGGGGUGCUAGUGCCAAAGGUGUGUGUAUCAGUUAAAGGCACUUAUCCAGUGUGAUCUGAAUUCUUAGUCCCUCUGUUUACCUGGUGGGUUCCAUGCUCUCCUCCAUGACCUGCUGCAGAGGGGAGGCUUCUGCCUGCUUGGCAUGGAGGACAGGGAGGAUCCGGGCACACUUACUGAUCUGCCUUCAGUUCGCAUCUGUUUUUUAGGCUGCUUGGUCCUCUGGUACAAUCACAACAAUGCUAGAAUAAUGCUUUAAACCCAAUCAUUUUUAUGGGAACACACAUAGUAUAAAAGGUCUGACUGACUGUGCACAC